AAAUACUUAUUACGCACUAGCUGACGCCCGCGACUUCGUCCGCGUGGACUACACAAAUUUUAAACCCCUAUUUUACCCCCUUAGGGAUUGAAUUUUUAAAAAUCCUUUGUUAGUGGAUGCCCACGUCAUAAUGGCUAUCUGUAUAAGCAGCCCGGUCCGUCCAGUAGUUUGAGCUAUGCAUAGAUAGAAUAG